AUUGCUUCAGUAGAUAGCUUUCUAUUUAUGCUUUGAUCAAAUUAUGUGAUUAUGUGAGUAUGACUUGUACAGGAUAUACAAAGAUUCUCAAUUGCAUCACAUAAUUAGCUAAAAGUAUGGGAAUGUUGUUAAAACCUUGUCUAGCUGUUAGCUUUUAAUAUUGUGUACUUGUAGCGGAAUUGUACGAUCCAUCCCACAUCAAUUCAUCACCUAGCGGCUAGCAGCGCACACCUGUGUAGACGGACCCAAUAAGCAUGUUGGACCACCUCCUUACCUAAAAGGUUAACCUAUUAGGUUAAUGCUCUACCAUACUUAUUAACCCAUCUACACUCUUGAAUUUAUUCAAUGUGGAAUUCAUGUGAAAUAUCCCAACAAUCUCCACCUUUCAUUUGAAUACCCAUCACAAAUAUCAUAUUAGAGUAUUCUCAUCAUUAAGCACACCUUCUUUGAAAUACUACUCCACCACGCCAGCAACAAACGUGUGUCUCAGCAGUUUUUCCUAAAGCCAUCCGAGCCCUGCUCCACCCGAUUCAAAUACUUCACCUUUGAGUCUUUCAAGAGCUUUGCUUGACUCUAAUAUUACUCCACCACGUCCGGGGCAAACGUGUCUCAGCAACUUCCCUAGAGCCUUCCUAAAAUAUGCGCUAUAUAAAACAACGGAGACCAUAUAUUCGAUAACAAGCAAGAAUGUUUAUCUAGUUUCCCAAAAAUUAAAAGUAUAUACCGGAGAUAGAAUGAAAUAUAUUGCACGGAUGACUAAAAAUAAUCUAUUAGACUAUUACAAUUAUAGCAUUGACAUUAACCAAUGCAUCAAGUGCUCGAGCCCCUCAGCUAUAAGCCCCUCCAAUAACGCAUCAAACAAAUUCGAAAUUCUUAAACCCAAUUGCUUAAUUUUUGACUCUAUAACCUCUAACAUCUUCUUUCAAUUGGUGAAAAAAUGACAAUGCAAGACUGAGGUUUUCUCUGAGUGUGUUCAAAUGAAAAGUAACUUUAGAAUUUACUAGAGAUAAUACAUACAUACACACACAUGGUGUGGUUUCGGUUUUAUGCGUGCGGUUUUGGCUAGUAACCAAACCGGAACCGUAAAUUUGGUUAUUCAACCCACCUAAAACCGCCACAUACGCCGGAACCGUUGGUGCGGUUUUAAUUGGUGCGGUUCGUGCGGUUUUUGGUGUGGUUUCGGUUUCAAUUUGGUUACUUGCUCAGUCCUACCUAGCAGCGCACACCUGUGUAGACGGACCCAAUAAGCAUGUUGGACCACCUCCUUACCUAAAAGGUUAACCUAUUAGGCUGAUGCUCUACCAUACUUAUUAACCCAUUUACACUCUUGAAUUUAUCAAAUGUGGAAUUCAUGUGAAAUAUCCCAACAAUCUCCACCUUUCACUUGAAUACCCAUCACAAGUAUCAUACUAGAGUAUUCUCAUCAUUAAGCACACCUUCUUUGAAAUACUACUCCACCACGCCAGCAACAAACGUGUGUCUCAGCAGUUUUUCCUAGAGCCAUCCGAGCCCUGCUCCACCCGAUUCAAAUACUUCACCUUUGAGUCUUUCAAGAGCUUUGCUUGACUCUAAUAUUACUCCACCAUGUCCGGGGCAAACGUGUCUCAGCAACUUCCCUAGAGCUUUCCUAAGCCCGCUCCACCCGACUCAAAUCAUCCCGUGCUCCACCUGAUUCAACUCUAUUUGCUCCACCCACGAGGCCUGCGAAUUUUACUUUCGCACUCCCCUCGCACCCUGGAGUUGAUACUUGUUGGACUCCCACGAGGCCUACGAAUUUUUUACCCUCGCACCUUGGAGUUGUUACUUGGGCCCAUCGAACCAUGGGCUUUGAUACCAUUUUGUAGCGGAAUUGUAUGAUCCAUUCCACAUCAAUUCAUCACGUAGCAGCGCACACCUGUGUAGACGGGCCCAAUAAGCAUGUUGGACCACCUCCUACCUAAAAGGUUAACCUAUUAUGUUGAGGCUCUACCAUACUUAUUAACCCAUCUACACUCUUGAAUUUUUCCAAUGUGGGAUUCAUGUGAAAUAUCCCAACAGUACUGUUGUCUUAGUUUUGUUUUACAGUGGUAGGAUUUUGGUCAUAAAGUUGAGUUUUAAUAUAUUUUUGACUGAGUGGACCAAGUGAUAAGUUUUUUACUUAGGUUAGUUUCAUGUAGGUUGUGUUUGUGGUUAGGAGGUGUAUGAUUCACUUUGGCUGAUUUUGCUAAAAGUCGAUACAUGCCAAGUUCAGACUUCAGCUGCUUACAUUGUUUGCCCAUAUAUGAUGAAGAGAAUGGAAGCAUAGGCCAAUGCAAACGAUGAGAAUGUUAAUUUUAUGAAAACGAUAUAUGGCAUUUUAAGAUAUUUAUUGAUUUAUGAUUGAAAGAAUUGGUUCUAUUUUAUUUAUCUUCAAUCCUUGUAUAAUGUUUUGGGUGUUGGAUGCUUACACGUAGCACAGACUAGAAUUGUCAAUCAGACGCAAUGCAGGAACUUGAAGUGUUCGCUGUCUUGACAACUGAUCUUGAGUGCCAUUCAUUGAGAAGAAAAUUGAGAAAGGAAGCUAAGAACUCAGGAUCCCUUAAAAUACUCUAGCAGGGACGAAACUAAUGCAUGGAUGCAGGGGGCCAUGGCCCCCCCAAGAUCUGAUUUAUUUUUGUUACUAAGUGAUGUGAACAAUUUUUUAGGCCCACUUGUUCAAUAAUAUAUUUUUACGAGUUUGAUGUACUACAACAUCAAGAAUUUCAAAAGUUGUCCACUAUUUCUGAUCUCUGUCAAUGGUUGGUGAAAACAUGAAAGUCAACAAUCUAUCCACUAAUCGAUAGACUGAUCAGGCUUGUUCUAACUCUUCCAGUUUCUACUGCAACUACAGAACGUGCAUUUUCAUCUAUGAGUUGUCAAAUCUGAACUUCGAAACAAGUAACUCUUCCAGUUUCUACUGCAACUACAGAACGUGCAUUUUCAUCUAUGAGUUGUCAAAUCUGAACUUCGAAACAAGAUGGAGGAUGAAUAUCUUACAAAUUCUCUUAUUGUCUACAUUGAAAAAGAAAUUGCGGAACAGUUCAUUACAGAAUCAAUCAUAGAUGGAUUUCGUGAUUUGAAAGAACGCCGGGUGCAAUUUUGACGAAG
rnacentral:lncRNA from 1 species